rnacentral:rRNA from 1 species
UACGAAGGGUGCAAGCGUUGUCCGGAUUUAUUGGGCUUAAAGGGUGUGUAGGCGGCUUUUUAAGUCAUGGGUGAAAGCCCGCAGCUCAACUGGGGAAUUGCCUGUGAUACUGAGGAGCUUGAGUGCAGGAGAGGCGACUGGAAUUGGUGGUGUAGCGGUGAAAUGCGUAGAUACCACGAGGAACACCGAUUGCGAAGGCAGGUCGCUGAGCUGUAACUGACACUGAGGCACGAAAGCGUGGGGAGCAAACAGG